UGGGGAAUUUUGGACAAUGGGCGCAAGCCUGAUCCAGCCAUGCCGCGUGCAGGAUGAAGGCCUUCGGGUUGUAAACUGCUUUUGUACGGAACGAAAAGGUGCCUUCUAAUAAAGGGCGCUCAUGACGGUACCGUAAGAAUAAGCACCGGCUAACUACGUGCCAGCAGCCGCGGUAAUACGUAGGGUGCGAGCGUUAAUCGGAAUUACUGGGCGUAAAGCGUGCGCAGGCGGUUUUGUAAGACAGAGGUGAAAUCCCCGGGCUCAACCUUGGAACUGCCUUUGNGACUGCAAGGCUGGAGUGCGGCAGAGGGGGAUGGAAUUCCGCGUGUAGCAGUGAAAUGCGUAGAUAUGCGGAGGAACACCGAUGGCGAAGGCAAUCCCCUGGGCCUGCACUGACGCUCAUGCACGGAAGCGUGGGGAGCAAACA
rnacentral:rRNA from 1 species